CAAGGAAUUUUCCCCAAUGGGCGCGAGCCUGAGGGAGCAACGCCGCGUGGAGGAAGACGGCCUUCGGGUUGUAAACUCCUUUUGGGCGGGAAGAUAAUGACGGUACCGCCCGAAUAAGCCCCGGCUAACUCCGUGCCAGCAGCCGCGGUAAGACGGAGGGGGCAAGCGUUGUCCGGAAUCACUGGGCGUAAAGCGCGCGUAGGCGGUUCGUUGCGUCGGUGCUGAAAGCGCCAGGCUUAACCUGGCGAGGCGUGCCGAUACGAGCGGACUAGAGGCAGGCAGAGGGUGGCGGAAUUCCGGGUGUAGUGGUGAAAUGCGUAGAGAUCCGGAGGAACGCCGGUGGCGCAAGCGGCCACCUGGGCCUGACCUGACGCUGAGGCGCGAAAGCGUGGGGAGCAAACCGGAUUAGAUACCCCCGUAGUCC
rnacentral:rRNA from 1 species